rnacentral:lncRNA from 1 species
AUUCAGACUAUUGUGGCAUCAUACUGCAGUGUCUAGGUGCCAUUUAGACACUGAACACAAGGAACCUGCAACCAAACUCAAGUUGCAAAAGUAGAAAAAUGCUGUAUUAUCUCUAUUCCCUUGAGUAUGCCAGACUAGCAAGUCUGAAGCAGAAUACUGCUGAAGUGAACACUGCCAUGAAGAGAAGACGGAAGAUCACUCUCUCCCAAAAGGAGCUUAAAAUUCAGUCAUAUUAAUUUCAAAGGAUUGAAAUUCUU